GACGAACGCUGGCGGCGUGCUUAACACAUGCAAGUCGAACGGAAAGGCCCUGCUCUUGUGGGGUGCUCGAGUGGCGAACGGGUGAGUAACACGUGAGUAACCUUCCCUUGACUUUGUGAUAACUUCAGGAAACUGGGGCUCAUACCGGAUAUGAGCUCCUGCUGCAUGGUGGUGGUUGGAGAGUUUCGGCGGUUGGGGCUGGUCUCGCUGGUUAUGGGCUGGUUGGGGGGGUAGUGGCUGACCAGGGCUUUGACGGGUAGCCGGCCUGGGAGGGUGACCGGGGACAAUGGGACUGAGAUAGGGACCAGAAGGGAACGGGAGGCAGCAGGGGGGAACAUGGCACAGUGGGGGGAAGCGUGAGGUAGAAACGCCGCGUGCGGGAUGACGGCUUUCGGGUUGUAAACCGCUUUGGACUGUGACGAAGCGUGAGUGACGGUAAUGGGUAAAGAAGCACCGGCUAACUACGUG
rnacentral:rRNA from 1 species